CCUACGGGGGGCAGCAGUGAGGAAUAUUGGUCAAUGGACGAGAGUCUGAACCAGCCAAGUAGCGUGAAGGAUGACUGCCCUAUGGGUUGUAAACUUCUUUUAUAUGGGAAUAAAAUGUUCCACGUGUGGGAUUUUGUAUGUACCAUAUGAAUAAGGAUCGGCUAACUCCGUGCCAGCAGCCGCGGUAAUACGGAAGAUCCGAGCGUUAUCCGGAUUUAUUGGGUUUAAAGGGAGCGUAGGUGGAUUGUUAAGUCAGUUGUGAAAGUUUGCGGCUCAACCGUAAAAUUGCAGUUGAAACUGGCAGUCUUGAGUACAGUAGAGGUGGGCGGAAUUCGUGGUGUAGCGGUGAAAUGCUUAGAUAUCACGAAGAACUCCGAUUGCGAAGGCAGUUCACUGGACUGUAACUGACACUGAGGCUCGAAAGUGUGGGUAUCAAACAGGAUUAGAUACCCUUGUAGUC
rnacentral:rRNA from 1 species